rnacentral:rRNA from 1 species
CACGUAGGGGGCGAGCGUUGUCCGGAUUUAUUGGGCGUAAAGAGCUCGUAGGUGGCUCGGUAAGUCGGGUGUGAAAUUUCGAGGCUCAACCUCGAGACGCCACCCGAUACUGCUGUGGCUAGAGUCCGGUAGGGGAGCGUGGAAUUCCUGGUGUAGCGGUGAAAUGCGCAGAUAUCAGGAGGAACACCAGCGGCGAAGGCGGCGCUCUGGGCCGGUACUGACACUGAGGAGCGAAAGCGUGGGGAUCAAACAGG